rnacentral:rRNA from 1 species
AUUGAACGCUGGCGGCAUGCUUUACACAUGCAAGUCGAACGGUAACAGGCCUUCGGGUGCUGACGAGUGGCGAACGGGUGAGUAAUGCAUCGGAACGUGCCCAGAGGUGGGGGAUAACGCAGCGAAAGCUGUGCUAAUACCGCAUGUGAUCUGAGGAUGAAAGCGGGGGACCAGGCAGCAAUGUUUGGCCUCGCGCCUUUGGAGCGGCCGAUGUCAGAUUAGGUAGUUGGUGGGGUAAAGGCCUACCCAGCCGACGAUCUGUAGCUGGUCUGAGAGGACGACCAGCCACACUGGGACUGAGACACGGCCCAGACUCCUACGGGAGGCAGCAGUGGGGAAUUUUGGACAAUGGGCGCAAGCCUGAUCCAGCAAUGCCGCGUGCGGGAAGAAGGCCUUCGGGUUGUAAACCGCUUUUGUACGGAACGAAAAGGCUCUGGCUAAUACCUGGGGCUGAUGACGGUACCGUAAGAAUAAGCACCGGCUAACUACGUG